GAUGAACGCUGGCGGCGUGCCUAAUACAUGCAAGUCGAGCGAACAGACGCGAAGCUUGCUUCUCUGAUGUUAGCGGCGGACGGGUGAGUAACACGUGGAUAACCUACCUAUAAGCCUGGGAUAACUUCGGGAAACCGGAGCUAAUACCGGAUAAUAUUUUGAACCGCAUGGUUCAAAAGUGAAAGACGGUCUUGCUGUCACUUAUAGAUGGAUCCGCGCUGCAUUAGCUAGUUGGUAAGGUAACGGCUUACCAAGGCAACGAUGCAUAGCCGACCUGAGAGGGUGAUCGGCCACACUGUAACUGAGACACGGUCCAGACACCUACGGGAGGCAUCAGUAGGGAAGCUUCCGCAAUGGGAGAAAGCCUGACGGAGCAACGCCGCGUGAGUGAUGACGGUCUUUGGAUCAUAAAACUCUGUUAUUAGGGAAGAACAUAUGUGUAAGUAACUGUGCACAUCUUGACGGUACCUAAUCAGAAAGCCACGGCUAACUACGUG
rnacentral:rRNA from 1 species